UCGGCUCAUCACAUCCUGGGGCUGAAGUAGGUCCCAAGGGUAUGGCUGUUCGCCAUUUAAAGUGGUACGCGAGCUGGGUUUAGAACGUCGUGAGACAGUUCGGUCCCUAUCUGCCGUGGGCGCUGGAGAAUUGAGGGGGGCUGCUCCUAGUACGAGAGGACCGGAGUGGACGCAUCACUGGUGUUCGGGUUGUCAUGCCAAUGGCACUGCCCGGUAGCUAAAUGCGGAAGAGAUAAGUGCUGAAAGCAUCUAAGCACGAAACUUGCCCCGAGAUGAGUUCUCCCUGACUCCUUGAGAGUCCUGAAGGAACGUUGAAGACGACGACGUUGAUAGGCCGGGUGUGUAAGCGCAGCGAUGCGUUGAGCUAACCGGUACUAAUGAACCGUGAGGCUUAACCUUACAACGCCGAAGGUGUUU
rnacentral:rRNA from 1 species